rnacentral:pre_miRNA from 14 species
CUUCUUUCGAUCUCUGAUUUGCUUGGUGCUGGUCGGGAACCAUUACAUCCACAGUUUCCGUAGAAACUUUCCCUUAGUAAAUUGGACCCCGUCUUGCAUCAAUCGAAUCAGAGGUCGCGGUGAAU